rnacentral:rRNA from 1 species
AUGUCCACCACCACUAAAGGUACAGCCGGCUACGACCGCCGCCGGGGGCUUCAGGCGUUCGACGACACCAAGGCCGGCGUCAAGGGCCUCGUCGACGCCAGCGUCACCACCAUCCCGCCCAUCUUCCACCACCCUCCCGACUCCCUCGCCACUUCUUCCACCGCCACCAUCCCGGUCAUCGACCUCUCGGGCCGCCGAUCCGAAGUGGUCGGCGAGGUGCGGGCGGCGACCGAGACGGUGGGCUUCUUCCAGGUGGUCAACCACGGCGUGCCGGCCGACCUACUCGCCGAGAUGCUCGCGUCCGUGCGGCGGUUCCACGAGUCGCCGGCCGAGGCCAAGACGCCGCACUACACCCGGGACCUUGCCAGGAAGGUCCGGUUCAACUCCAACUUCGACCUCUUCCAGUCGCCGGCGGCCAAUUGGCGCGACACCCUCUUCUGCCAGGCGCUCCCGGACCCGCCGGAGCCGGAGGAGCUCCCCACCGCGGUGCGGGGCGUUUUGCUGGAGUACGGCGACGCGGUGCGGCAGCUCGCCGUGCGGGUGCUGGAGCUGGUGUCGGAGGCCAUGGGGCUGGCGCCGGACCGGCUGGAGAAGAUGGGGUGCGCGGAUGGCCUGAGCGUGGUGAGCAACUACUACCCGCCGUGCCCGCAGCCGCACCUCACGCUCGGCACCAGCCGGCACUCCGACCCGGCGUUCCUCACCGUGCUCCUCCAGGACGACAUGGCCGGCCUCCAGGUGCUCGUUGACGACGACGGCGAGAAGCGGGCAGUGUGGGCGGACGUCCCUCCGGUGCCGGGCGCUCUGGUGAUCAACGUCGGCGACCUGCUCCAGCUGGUGAGCAACGGGAGGCUGAAGAGCGUGGAGCACCGGGUGGUGGCCAACAGGAGCAGGGACAGGGCAAGGAUCUCGGUGGCGGCCUUCUUCAAUGCCGACCUGAGGCAGACGACGGCGGUGUACGGCCCCAUCGAGGAACAGGUAACCUCGUCGGCGCCGCCGUUGUACAGGAGCAUCACGGUGGAGGAGUUCCUCUCUCACUACGACGGCAAAGGCCUGGACGGUCGCCCGGCGCUGGACCAUUUCCUUCUUCCUUGA